rnacentral:lncRNA from 1 species
CUGCAGAGCGCUCCGUGCCUGGUGGAGACCAUUAUCACCUUGCUAACGACUGUCGUUAACAGGUGCUCGUGUGGGAGGGUGUUGCUCUCCGCCCUUCCUUUUCCCCCUGCUUAAGUAGUGAAUGAACUAGAUAAAAAAUUCAGCCCGUGUUUGCUGAUCUCAAAUGGUUUGGGGGCAUCCAGCAUAUUUGGAUGGAUGGAGGUAAAGGUGACAGCUUAGUGAUGACCUGAAAGAACACAAAAGAUCCUCACUGAUUACCUUUGCAAGCGACACAAGACUGGAAGAACUAAAGAUUAUGAAGAGGCCAGCAGCAGAGAGCUUUCUGCCUGGAUUGAUAAGCGGAGCAACUGCCUUGUUGGAGUAAGACGUCUUUUUUCAGCUGUGCCUUCUUGCUGCGUCCCCGAGGCCAGACUCCCUGACAGGUCACCCAGCGAUGGCACCGAGGCUGGCUGGGGAGCAGCAGGAGUGCUGUUAUUAAUUGUAGUGCCAGGGAGGGGAUGCCGGGGCCCAGCCGGCCCCCCUCAGUGCCCUCGAGGCGGUCUGGGCCACGCCACACGCAGAGCGCCUGCGUCAGGAGGCACAAGCCAGCCAGCAAAGAGCCCACAAAGCAAAGGAGCAGGCUCCCGCUGCCAAAUAUCAUGUCCUUAUGCUCUGCGUGCCUCUUCGCAAGCCCUGCAGCACAGGCUCGGCAUUCAGCCUUUUCCUUCAAGGCUGCCACAUCAGCAGGAGGUUUUCUGCCAGGAAAGGUGGCUUUCUGCGCCACAGUGGGGUGUGAUGCCCAGCCCCAGAUGGGGUGAGGGCUUGCUCUGCCCCUCUGUAGUGAGCAGGGAGCUACCUGGCUGUACCACCAGGCUGCGUGCCCCUGUAUGUUUUGGGGUGAGGUAGCAGCCUUGGUGGGAGCAGAGCAGCAAGAAGGGGGCCAGGAGGCAGCUCAGCACAGCAAAGCUGGGCCCUGCCUGGGUUACGUGGGUCAUCCCCAGUCCAACAGACUCACUGUGGUGUUGGUUGGUUGGUUGUAGCCUUGUGUUAGGCUGUGCGUCUCACAGAUGAGUCAGGGCUAGAUGUUCUUGUGCCGUCUUGCCCCCCCAAAAUGGUCUGGUGAGCAGCAACAAAGCUCCUGGAGCGGUCUGAAAAGUGCCCUGCAGGCGUGAAGCACGGAUGCAGAUCAGGGCACUCCAGCACGAGACUCAUUUAUUGAGACUGUGCUUGGGGAGAGCCGAAUGGACAGUAAUAGAGGAAACAUGGCUCAUAUUUUUCAUACCGUGUGGGAGCUGGACUGAAACAAAGUGAGUGCAAGGCAGAGGCCAGACCGUGUUCAUCCCUGAGUGCUGCCAGACUCCUCAAACCCACUGCGUGCAGCCUGUUAGCUGCCCCGCUGGCUAGCAGUCCUCUACAGGUGAGAAUGUCAUGGUUUUUGAAGGAUGUAGCAGAUUUCCACAGUUCUUGUAUCGAAACCUAACCGUCACGUUACUUCCCAGUAAGGACUCUCCCACUGCUGAGGCAGUUGCCUGGUUUAAGGAUAAUGUCUUAUUGCCACUGUAAAAGCCACAUUCCAGAGCACCUGAAUCACUGCACUAAUAACACACCUGUCAACGUGACUCACGGCAUGUGCUCACCCCUCAUUCAAGACAAGCUCUCAGUGGGACAAUUGCUGGAUCCAUCUGUCUUUAUGCUUCUAGCACCGUGCCGGAAGAAGCUGCCGCGUUCAUGCGCGCCGCGUGCAAUCUGUGCUUCACCAGCGACGUCUUUUCAGGGAAAGGGCAUGACUCAUGGGAUGCCAUUUGUCAGAUCAGGCAUUAGGUAGUGCCUUAUUGAUCGUUCAGCCCGCAGGGCACAAAGCAGAGGGUGAAUCAGUAGUCCCGGGAGCAGCAGGUAUUUGUAAAGCUCCGUGAAACAUUCACAUGAACUGUCGACUGAUAGCCCAAGCUGGGAGGGCAGAUUCUGAGCUCAUUCAAAAUGAUUCAGUGGAAUUACAUCAGAGUGUCAGCGGGGCAGAGCUGGGCCCUAGCUGUUGUUUUGAGACAAGAGGAGCCUGCAAAGGGUAAAUGUAUAGAAAAUAUUAAUCUAUAUCACUUUUCUAUGUAAGCAGCUCUGCUGUGCUCCUGUAUCAAAGGUGCAUGGAAGCAUGCAACAAAUGUUUAUCUGGAUGAGGCUGAGGACCUAUCCCAUCGGCUAUAGGAGGCUGGGACAGUGCAAUCCCAUGGUGAACAGGUAGGACAGAAACUCACAAACAUCUUGCUUUUAAAAUGAGUCCCAGCGCACAGACGGCAGGAGAAGAUGUCACAUGCAGUGCAGUUUCCCUCUGUUAGUUAUCCCAAGGCUACUGCUGCUUGAUUCUUCCAGUCCCUGCCAGUCCAUGUGCAGAACAACCACGGUGUGGGGAUGGGAUGCCACUGCUGAGGUUGGAUUGCUGUCACCAUAUAGUCAGGCUGCAUCUGCGAAAAGGGAGCCCUGCCUGCUCCUUACACUGUAAGCCCAAGGAAUAUAUUUCUCCGUUGAUACAAAUCCUGCCUCUGACAAGCUGGGUGGUCUGAGUGGAGACUUUUAACCUCUCUGCACUUCUGCUUCCCCCGUGUAUGAAAUGGGGAUAGUAAUAAUUAACUGUUUCACAGAGGUACCACGUUUUCAUGUCCAUGGAGUGCUUUGAAGGGGUAAUGUAGUUAGUGCUAUUGAAGCUCUUCAAAUGCAGCUGUAUUUCAUUGCGUACAUAACAGAGUGAUAUAUUAGCUUAAAAAACAUAUUUGAAACUCUUGAUAAUUAGGAAGUCGGGCAAUGGCAAUUAAUGCUUUCAGACAUGGUGUUACUGCUCUUCUCCAAACUAUAGCUCAUUUAAAAUGCUAGCCCUAUAAUUUAUUAGCAAUAUUUAAUACCUCAGUGACCAUAAAACUUAGUGUUUUAUUACCACUGAUUAACAUACGUUUGAUGUGCUGCCCAGUGUUACACAAUCCAAAACAAAUUACUUUCAGGAAGCUGGAUAUUAUAUAAAUACAGAAAAGCAAUAAAUAAUGCAUUGGAGAAACA